CCGAAGCCCCCCACCUCGGUGGAAGCAGAGGCCCCCCCGGACACUCAACACGCCAUCUCCCAGUGACGGGCUUGGGUCGACAGUGAGCUCCCUCGACCAGACCAUGACUCGCUCCCUGGGCUCCCGCGGCUCCCUCUGCGAUGAAGCUGCUGACGACUGUGAUAAUAUCAACGUCGUCGUCAGGGAAAUAAAUUAACUGAGGCAGAUUUCCGUCAUAAGACGAGUCGUUCAGUGAUGCCGACAGUAUAGCUGGGUCAGCAAGACGGCGUCUCCAAGGACACAUGUAAAGGU